GAUGAACGCUGGCGGCGUGCCUAAUACAUGCAAGUCGAACGCAUUGUGGUUGAAAUGAUAUGAAGAACUUGUUCAGAUUUGAUUUUCAACAUUGCAAUGAGUGGCGAACGGGUGAGUAACACGUGGGAAACCUACCUCUUAGCAGGGGAUAACAUUUGGAAACAAAUGCUAAUACCGUAUAAUAAUUAAAACCGCAUGGUUUUAGUUUAAAAGAUGGUCUUGCUAUCACUAAGAGAUGGUCCCGCGGUGUAUUAGUUAGUUGGUGAGGUAAUGGCUCACCAAGACAAUGAUACAUAGCCGAGUUGAGAGACUGACCGGCCACAAUGGGACUGAGACACGGCCCAUACUCCUACGGGAGGCAGCAGUAGGGAAUCUUCCACAAUGGACGAAAGUACUGAUGGAGCAACGCCGCGU
rnacentral:rRNA from 1 species